GAUUGGGUACAGUUACUACAUGCCAUGCCCACGUCUCUCAUGGUUGAAAAGGUGUAACGUCAAUCAUACCUAUCCAUUCAACAAGCUUUGUAGGUUACCCAGGACAAGUGUGCCAGAGCAUCAGCUGAAUGAAAGAAGCGCUAUGAUAUGGGCAUUGGGAAUGUGUGUGAAGGAAUAUGUGCCAUGCUCUGCUCACUCUGAAAAGGCUGAGUGAUGCCCUGUGCCUGGGGGCCACAUUACACCCAUACCUGUCAGAUUCUGCAGUUGUGCUGUAGGCAUGUAACUGAUUCACCUGCCCUGCAAGAUUCAGUGCACAGACCAGGGAGAGACUGUGGGAGGACCCAGGAAGUUCAGAGGUCACAGGCUCAGCACUGCCUGGCUGCUGAUCAACUCCGUAUCUGCAGCAUCUCACUGGCUGAGAGAUGGGGGAUGGGCCCCAAAGUCCACUGUGCAUAAAUAAAAGCGCAUCAAAGUAAACAAGUUUAAAUUUU